CUUGCUGAUGGAGAGGAAUAGUGUCACUCCCAUUUGACUCGGUAACCCGGCAGCUUCCUGUCUUAAACGCAGAGCUGGCGCGCAGGACACUCCUCCUGCAGACACUUAUUACACAAGUUCAGCUGCACCUGGUGCAAAGCAGCCCUGAAAGCUCAGAAUUGAAGACGAAAUGUGGAGACCAGGCUCCUUCGAUUGAAAACCGCUACGAGGACACUCUCCGCAGUGGGCGGCCAGAAAGGAUUUCGGAUCAACAUCCGUAGAGUGGUCUGAUGCCAACCAGCAGUCCUGCCAGCAGUGACCUGCAAUUCCACUGGAUAUAGCAGGCAGGAUCUCUUUCCCUGGCCAUUUUUUGGAGAAGGUCCAGCUGAGAGGCUCAGACAGCCAUAAUGGAUGGGAUCUUUUUAGAGGUAUGGAGAAUGUCAUGGUUUCAACCCAAGAAGACAGCAGGGCCAUUAGCAGAAGUGAGACAAGGAGCUGGCUGGAAAGUGAAGAUCACAGGCAGAAGGCAGAGGCGCGGCAGGUGCCCCGAGUG
rnacentral:lncRNA from 1 species